GUCCUAGCCCUAAACGAUGAAUGCUUGGUGUGACGGGUACCCAAUCCCGUCGUGCCGUAGCUCACGCGAUAAGCAUUCCGCCUGGGGAGUACGGUCGCAAGGCUGAAACUCAAAAGGAAUUGACGGGGGCCCGCACAAGCGGUGGAGCAUGUGGUUCAAUUCGACGCAAACGCGAAGAACCUUACCUGGGCUCGAAAGCGCAGUGGACCGGGGUGGAAACAUCCCUUCCGCAAGGGCUGCUGCGUAGGUGCUGCAUGGCUGUCGU
rnacentral:rRNA from 1 species